GGGCGGAUGACGUAAUUGGUAGCCGUACUAGACUUAAAAUCUGGGGGUCUGACGACCGUGAGGGUUCAAGUCCCUCUCCGCCCACCA
rnacentral:tRNA from 1 species